rnacentral:rRNA from 1 species
AGUGAACGCUGGCGGUAGGCCUAACACAUGCAAGUCGAACGGCAGCACAGGAGAGCUUGCUCCCUGGGUGGCGAGUGGCGGACGGGUGAGGAAUACAUCGGAAUCUACUCUGUCGUGGGGGAUAACGUAGGGAAACUUACGCUAAUACAGCAUACGACCUACGGGUGAAAGCAGGGGACCUUCGGGCCUUGCGCGAUUGCAUGAGCCGAUGUCGGAUUAGCUGGUUGGCGGGGUAAAGGCCCACCAAGGCGACGAUCCGUAGCUGGUCUGAGAGGAUGAUCAGCCACACUGGAACUGAGACACGUUCCAGACUCCUACGGGAGGCAGCAGUGGGGAAUAUUGGACAAUGGGCGCAAGCCUGAUCCAGCCAUACCGCGUGGGUGAAGAAGGCCUUCGGGUUGUAAAGCCCUUUUGUUGGGAAAGAAAUCCAGCUGGCUAAUACCCGGUUGGGAUGACGGUACCCAAAGAAUAAGCACCGGCUAACUUCGUGCCAGCCGCCGCAGUAA